ensembl:lncRNA
ACGACUGAGCCACUGAACUGAACUGAACAUACAAUCGUUUCUCCAGGUGUUUUGGUUACCCGAGUUUCUAUCCUGUGCUAAACUAAGUGACGACAGUGUACUGAAGAGCUGGGUCAUUUCCAAAUAAAUUAAAGUUCUGAAACAUUCACGCCUUGAAAGGACCUCCCUUUUACACAGAAACAAAAGAGAUUUUUGACUAUCCAAUAAGAGUGUCUGGCACCAUCCUGACAUGUGAAACGUAAGAAAGCAAUUUUUUUUGUUUUGUUUGGUUCUGAUCUUGGGUGUGUGUGUGUGUGUGUGUGUGUGUGUGUGUGUGCGUGCGUGCGGGGGAGGGGAGGGGCGCUACUAUCACUGAUAGGUAUGUUCACCAAUCUGUCGAAUGCCAAUAUAAAAGUCAGUUCUUGGUUGCUGAAGGGAAAUGUAUGACUUGGUAUUAAAAGAAGGUAUGUGGCAUGAAAUCGCAUUUUCUGAAGGAAAACGACGUCGUUCUUUCUUCCAGGUGGCAGUUUCAGGAUGGGAGAAGCAAAGGAAUGGGUACAGAAUGGGAUCAGGAGGUUGUAGGGAAAGUGGACCCCCAGAAAAGAGUGUUGUGCCUAGCACAAGGUUUCUUGAGAGGUUGAACUGCCUUUGCUAAUGGAUUUUAAGUUUCUUUACCUCUUCCGUGAUCUCUUCUAGGUUGACCUAGAAGAGAAAUCUUUUGUUAGCUUUGGCUAAGUGGAGAAGUAUUGCUUCACGGUGACUUGUGUGAUCCUACCUGACUGUUCUAAACCCUUUUGAUAUCUAUGCACUGCUGCUGCUGCUGCUGCUGCUGCUGCUGCUGCGAAGUCGUUUCAGUCGUGUCCGAGUCUGUAGAACCCCAGGGACUGCGGGGCCUGGUGGGCUGCCGUCCAUGGGGUCACACAGACUCGGACACGACUGAAACGACUUCGCAGCAGCAGCAGCAGCAGCAGCAGCAGCAGCAGUGCAUAGAUAUCAAAAGGGUUUAGAACAGUCAGGUAGGAUCACACAAGUCACCGUGAAGCAAUACUUCUCCACUUAGCCAAAGCUAACAAAAGAUUUCUGUUCUAGGUCAACCUAGAAGAGAUCACGGAAGAGGUAAAGAAACUUAAAAUCCAUUAGCAAAGGCAGUUCAACCUCUCAAGAAACCUUGUGCUAGGCACAACACUCUUUUCUGGGGGUCCACUUUCCCUACAACCUCCUGAUCCCAUUCUGUACCCAUUCCUUUGCUUCUCCCAUCCUGAAACUGCCACCUGGAAGAAAGAACGACGUCGUUUUCCUUCAGAAAAUGCGAUUUCAUGCCACAUACCUUCUUUUAAUACCAAGUCAUACAUUUCCCUUCAGCAACCAAGAACUGACUUUUAUAUUGGCAUUCGACAGAUUGGUGAACAUACCUAUCAGUGAUAGUAGCGCCCCUCCCCUCCCCCGCACGCACGCACGCACACACACACACACACACACACACACACACACCCAAGAUCAGAACCAAACAAAACAAAAAAAAUUGCUUUCUUACGUUUCACAUGUCAGGAUGGUGCCAGACACUCUUAUUGGAUAGUCAAAAAUCUCUUUUGUUUCUGUGUAAAAGGGAGGUCCUUUCAAGGCGUGAAUGUUUCAGAACUUUAAUUUAUUUGGAAAUGACCCAGCUCUUCAGUACACUGUCGUCACUUAGUUUAGCACAGGAUAGAAACUCGGGUAACCAAAACACCUGGAGAAACGAUUGUAUGUUCAGUUCAGUUCAGUGGCUCAGUCGUGUCUGACUCUUUGGGACCCCGUGGCCUGCAGGACGCUGGGCUUCCGUGUCCAUCACCAACUCCAGGGGCUUGCUCAAACUCAUGUCCAUCGAAUCAGUGAUGCCAUCCAACCAUCUUAGCCUCUGUCGUCCCCUUCUCCUCUGCCUUCAAUCAAGACUCUCAUAGGCAGAUAUUUUCGAGUGUAAUUAGUGUUCAUAGUUUAUCUAAAAGCUCAUAUCAC